GACACAACCACAUGAGUGUUUAUCUCUCUGUUGUUGACUUGGGUCGAUCACAUUCCUAUUCCAAGGACUGAUUUUGUUAAUGGAAGAGUGGCAGCGAAACGCAGCCUGGGAGGCUGAAGAAGGUUCAAAGUUCAACCGUCUCAGUCGUCUUUAAACAUCUGUUAUCUGACACUGAAUUUACACUUUGGUUUUUCUCUGCAAGCUCGAGGAAGCAAAAUUAAACUCUUGGUGAAACCUGAACUCAGAUGGUUUAAAAAGAAAAAAGUUUAAAAAGAAGUUUAACUUUAUGAUGAUUUAACAGGUUUCUGCAGAGAGCCGACUGAAAGGAUGGAAAAGAUUCAAUCUAAAAAUGUUUAGACAGCAUUAACCCAACAGACCAGGUGUUGUGUCUUCUAUAAUUUUAUAUUAGACACUAAACGUCUCUUUGCUCAGCAUUUCAAGAGCAUUAAAUUAAUACUGUCAUACAAAUGACUUGAACUUGAUGAGGAUGAUGGACAGCUGUUUGUGUGGGUUUCAGUGUGCGCAAAAUAAUCUAGAUAAAAAACAAGUUAGUAACUGCAUUGGUUUAUGAAAAUAAACUUUAACAUUUCUUCUAAAAGUGGAAAUGAGAAGGCAAAUGUAGAGCAGCUGACAUCUGCAGAAAGAAGCUACCAGGACUGUAUUUUUCAUAUCAUUAAUAGUAUUUACCUGUUUAUUGACUUGCUUGCUCAGUGCAUGGCAGAGGUUCACUCUCAGGGUUUUUCUGCCACAGAGAAACAUUAAUUCUAUCAAUCGUCUGUUUUAUGCAAACUUUUUGCCUAAGCUUACUUAAAAUCUAAAUUCUAAAAAUAUUCAUUCUAAAUGUACCCAGUCUGAAAGCCCCAUGUCAGAACUUCAUCUUUAUGUAGGCCAGGGGACUGGAGUAGAGACCCCUGAUGUAGGCUCUGCUCCCAGGUCUCACAGCUGUGACAUCACAACAUUGUGAUUGGUCGGUUGCAGUAAUAUCAUAUGCACCAGAUGCCCCUUCCUUUCACUCUAAUGCUCGACACUGAUGAAAUGUUUCCAUGUCUUCUGGCUACAAUGUUACAGCUUAACUGUAAGUUCAUAAAAGUAACAAAUAUGUGAUUUCUGAGUAAGAUUUUUGCAAAAAAUUGGAAAUUCAUAAAAAAGACGUCCCUCCUGUAGGGGUGAGAGAGAAAAUCAAUGCAUCAUAGUACUGCAGUAUUCUGUGUGACGAUACAAGGACACAAAAUAUUAAUGUCUUAUAAAUUAAAUUAAACUACUUGCAAAUUGUACCAUGUUAUUGCAAUACUCCGCCUAUCACAAAAUGUCAAAAGUUUCAAUAUCCCGUCGUCAGUGAGGUAUUGUAUAAAUAUCGUGCUGACCUAAUCACCACUGUAAAUGUGAGAGCAGUCAUAGAACGAGAGAGUCAGCAGCACUGAUUUCGCUGAAGCUGAACGUCACUGCAGCUCCAUAAAUUGCAGAGAAAUGAAGCGCAGCGCUGUUUCAGGCGGUCGCUGAAAGUGCAAACUGAAAAACUGUGGCGGUUGCUUUUUUCUAACAGGUACGGACUGGUCCCAGUGCCUCCA